rnacentral:rRNA from 1 species
AGCGCGGGAGCAAUCCUGGCGGCGAGUGGCGAACGGGUGAGUAAUACAUCGGAACGUGUCCUGUAGUGGGGGAUAGCCCGGCGAAAGCCGGAUUAAUACCGCAUACGCUCUACGGAGGAAAGGGGGGGAUCUUAGGACCUCUCGCUACAGGGGCGGCCGAUGGCGGAUUAGCUAGUUGGUGGGGUAAAGGCCUACCAAGGCGACGAUCCGUAGCUGGUCUGAGAGGACGACCAGCCACACUGGGACUGAGACACGGCCCAGACUCCUACGGGAGGCAGCAGUGGGGAAUUUUGGACAAUGGGGGCAACCCUGAUCCAGCAAUGCCGCGUGUGUGAAGAAGGCCUUCGGGUUGUAAAGCACUUUUGUCCGGAAAGAAAUCAUCCUGGUUAAUACCUGGGGUGGAUGACGGUACCGGAAGAAUAAGCACCGGCUAACUACGUGCCAGCAGCCGCGGUAAUACGUAGGGUGCAAGCGUUAAUCGGAAUUACUGGGCGUAAAGCGUGCGCAGGCGGUUCGCUAAGACAGAUGUGAAAUCCCCGGGCUUAACCUGGGAACUGCAUUUGUGACUGGCGGGCUAGAGUAUGGCAGAGGGGGGUAGAAUUCCACGUGUAGCAGUGAAAUGCGU